CCUACGGGAGGCAGCAGUGAGGAAUAUUGGUCAAUGGGCGUAAGCCUGAACCAGCCAAGUCGCGUGAGGGAUGAAGGUUCUAUGGAUCGUAAACCUCUUUUAUAAGGGAAUAAAGUGUGGGACGUGUCCUGUUUUGAAUGUACCUUAUGAAUAAGGAUCGGCUAACUCCGUGCCAGCAGCCGCGGUAAUACGGAGGAUCCGAGCGUUAUCCGGAUUUAUUGGGUUUAAAGGGUGCGUAGGCGGCCUUUUAAGUCAGCGGUGAAAGCCUGUGGCUCAACCAUAGAAUUGCCGUUGAAACUGGGAGGCUUGAGUAUGGUAGAGGCAGGCGGAAUGCGUGGUGUAGGGGUGAAAUGCGUAGAUAUCACGAGGAACACCGAUUGCGAAGGCGACCUGCUAGGACAUGACUGACGCUGAUGCACGAAAGCGUGGGGAUCAAACAGGAUUAGAUACCCUUGUAGUC
rnacentral:rRNA from 1 species